rnacentral:lncRNA from 1 species
ACUGCAGUGACAAAUGUUUUUUUUUUUUACUUUUCCUCUUUGAGACAUCUUCCUCUAAAACUCUGAGCAGCUGCAGUCUCCUUGCCCAAACAACUUAAUUGUAAACUCUCUGGUGAGCCAGACUCUCCUCUUUAGGCCAUGACAACGAGGAAACAGCUUUGUCAGAGCAUCAUCCAUCAAGGGUGAGCACAGUGUUGGUGGCAGCUUGGAAAUGGAACGGGCUUCACUAGGGCAGCCGUAUGAGCAUCACUGCACUUCCCACUGCCCUGACACUGAUUUAUCAGGGGUUUCUCUGGCACUUGGGCCAUAACACACAAGGAGCUGGAAAUUGGAAGAAAACAUCAUGGAUUAUAUUUGCCACUCGGAACUCUCCUUCCUCUGAUGACUGCCUUCUGCCUCCCAGCAUACGUUAACUUUUGUUACCAAAUCCACAUCAAAGCAUUGUAUGUUGUUACCACUCACAAAUAUUCCCUAUCAUUAUUAAACAAAUGAGGUGCAACUGCCAGAUGAAGUUAGUGAGAGUGCCUAGCUGGAGGGAAGGGGGAAAAAAUUGGGAGAAAUUUCUCCUUUUUUGUUUUUUUUGGGUCUUGUUUACUGUUCUAGGGACACUGGAUAAUUAGGACAUGGAUUUUCUUGACAUAUCAUCUCAGACUGCGCUGUCAGAAAGCGCUCGUCUCCCUCGGGGUCUGGAGCAGGAGUGGAAACACAGAGGCAUACACCAGGUCUGCCAGGAGGAGGGCUGGCCCUGCAGCUCCUGCCCAGGAUACUGCAGCCCACAGGGAAUCACCAGGCUCCUGCAGCACAGCAGCCCUGCACCCUGUGAAACCAGCCUUUGUGCUUAAAGGUUCCCUGGCAACCAAGGAGCACAAAAAGCAUCGCUCAUUGCCGAGCAGAACCUUCCUUCACCCUCAGCCCUGCUCUUCCUCCACAGUGGGGUGGUCUCUCCUCUCUUUUCCAGCUCCGUUCAGGACAGGUGAAGACCAUCACACAGUGCAAGCUCCCUCUCUGCCAGCUCAGAGCACACAGGAGGAGCAAAAAUCCCCCCCAGGUUUGUAGGAUUUAAGUCUUCAGAGUGCACAUGCUCAGGCUUUAUUCUAAGCUUUUCAGGGAAGCAAAGAAGACAUGAGAUACCCCCUGUAAUCAUCUGCCUCUGGGAGCUGAUACCAGGUAUCAGAAGAGGUGGUGAAAUCACGGUGUUCAGAGCUGCCUUAUCCAGCUGUGGUGAGUAAUGUGUUUGCUGUAGUGACAAGCAAGUGUCACUGGAGCUGUGUGUGAAUAUUCUGCAUAAUUCCCAGUGCACAUCUUCAGAAAAAGAAGCCAGAAGUCCAAAGCAGAAAUGUGGAGAAGAGGGGUCCAGGUGGCCUCUUUGGGCACCUCCAGGGCUCAGGGGGACUCGGGGUGAAUGGAGCAGAGAGGGAGCUGCGCUGUGCUUUUGGGCUGAGGAGCCAAAAGUUGUCCGAGUGGUUCCUCAGAACAACAAAGUUGCACAGAGCUCAUGUCUAUGACACCUCUACAGACGCCUCAUUAUGUAAAAUUACAUCCUUUUGAAUCUAUGCUAAAAUAAUCUCAUUUUAUAACACAGUGUUGCUGGCUAGCCAGCUCCAGCUUGCAGUGUCUAUGAUGGUGUUUCUUGUCUGGUUUCUGCACGGUUGGGAUGAAGAUGAGCCUGAGCAUCGGGCUUGGGAUGUCUGAAAAUCUGAUUCAGUUCCGGGUCUGCCCUCAGCAGUUCCUCCAUGGAUUAGGUGAGACAUUUUGCUUUUCAGUGUUUUUAACCUGGUCCUGAGGAUACUGGACUUUGCCUUUAUGUGAGCCGUGAGCCUGCCCUUGUCCACCACUAUUGCUGCGGGAGCUGCCAGUCCUGGGAGUGGCAUAAAACAUAUAUAGCUUUUUAUGGAAGAAAUCAGAAGUGGCUCUUUCAUAUUUGUAGGUGUCACACACCAACUGGCUUAUAAAUGUAACUUUAAUGCCUAAAAAGUUGAUAAUCACCUUUAUACUUGCAUACUAGCAUCGUUUUAAAGUGAAUUACCGACAUCAUAUAUUGCCUUAUUCCCCCACA